CGAGAACGAUUUUUCUUUGCAUGUUUGAUGCAUGCGAGACUUUGCAUACAGUGAUAUGUAGCUUAAAAAAUGGCGUAUUCUCUAUUUAAAGUAAGGGUUACAUAAAGAAGAGCGCCAUGACCGCUCCAACGUCUGCGGGAGAACGGCUCAUUGACUAUUUCGUUGUUUGCGGACUUGACAAUGUGUCCGGCUUGGAACCCGACCAGCUAUUAGGUGAUUCACAUCACGUUCCACCCCUUGAAAGGUCUUAUCGGGCAAAGACAUUAGCUCAUUAUCCUGAUCAUGUCCCCUGGAAUCCAUUUGAUGAACAUGCAGUUUGCAUGGUAUGAUUUAUGCUUGGUUGGAAACAACCAAUUUUUCAUAAAAGAAACCUUGUUACUUUGCUGAAGG